rnacentral:lncRNA from 1 species
AGUGAUCUUUGGACGAGCACUGCCUGGAGUGACUUCCCGGAGCGACUACAUGAAGUCGCUGUGACACCCCUCCCAGAGCGACCUUCCCGGAGUGACAUGGAGAGGUCGCUCGCGUUUCUAUCACGAGACACCCCUCCCAGAGCGACUUGCCAGAGCGACGCUCCGAGGUCGCUCACGUUUCCAUGGCGAGACGACACAAAACGAAGCCCGG